rfam:Rhodnius prolixus Rhodnius_prolixus-3.0.3-205.29, whole genome shotgun sequence.
UCAACGGCCCUUUUCAGGGCCACCAAAUUUAAUCACUUAAAUGUUUU